rnacentral:rRNA from 1 species
AUCUGGCUCAGGAUGAACGCUAGCGGCAGGCUUAACACAUGCAAGUCGAGGGGCAUCGGGAGUAGCAAUACUGCCGGCGACCGGCGCAAGGGUGCGUAACGCGUGAGCAACAUGCCCGUAUCAGGGGGGAUAAUCCAUGGAAGCGUGGUCUAAUACCCCAUAGUAAUUAUGUAAGGCAUCUUAUAUAAUUUAAAGCUUUGGUGGAUACGGAUUGGCUCGCGUGACAUUAGCUGGAUGGUAAGGUAACGGCUUACCAUGGCUACGAUGUCUAGGGGUUCUGAGAGGAAGGUCCCCCACACUGGAACUGAGACACGGUCCAGACUCCUACGGGAGGCAGCAGUGAGGAAUAUUGGACAAUGGAUGGAAAUCUGAUCCAGCCAUGCCGCGUGCCAGGAAGACGGCCCUAUGGGUUGUAAACUGCUUUUGUAUGGGAGCAAUAAGGGCUACGUGUAGUCCGAUGAGAGUACCAUACGAAUAAGCACCGGCUAACUCCGUGCCAGCCGCCGC